AACGAACGCUGGCGGCAUGCCUAACACAUGCAAGUCGAACGAGACCUUCGGGUCUAGUGGCGCACGGGUGCGUAACGCGUGGGAACCUGCCCUUAGGUUCGGAAUACCUCCCCGUAAGGGGUGCUAAUACCGGAUAAUCUCUUCGGACCAAAGAUUUUUCGCCUUUGGAUGGGCCCUCGUUGGAUUAGCUAGUUGGUAGUGUACAAGCCUAGCAAGGAGACGAUCCUUAGCUGGUCUGGGAGGAUGACCAACCACACUGGGACUGAGACACGGACCAGACUGCGACGGGAGGGAGCAGUGGGGAAUAUUGGAGAAUGGGCGAUAGCGUGAUACAGCAAUGCCGCGGGAGUGAGGAAGGCCUUAGGGUUGUAAAGCUCUUUGUCCCGGGAUGAUAAUGACGGUACCGGGAGAAUAAGCACCGGCUAACUCCGUG
rnacentral:rRNA from 1 species